rnacentral:rRNA from 1 species
UAAGGAAUAUUGGACAAUGGAGGCAACUCUGAUCCAGCCAUGCCGCGUGAAGGAAUAAGGCCCUAUGGGUUGUAAACUUCUUUUAGACGGGACAAAACCCCUUUACGUGUAAAGGGUUGAUGGUACUGUCAGAAUAAGCAUCGGCUAACUUCGUGCCAGCAGCCGCGGUAAUACGAAGGAUGCAAGCGUUAUCCGGAAUUAUUGGGUUUAAAGGGUGCGUAGGCGGACUAAUAAGUCAGUGGUGAAAGCCUGCAGCUUAACUGCAGAAUUGCCAUUGAUACUGUUAGUCUUGAGUACAGUUGAGGUUGGCGGAAUGUGUCAUGUAGCGGUGAAAUGCUUAGAUAUGACACAGAACACCGAUUGCGAAGGCGGUCUCUUGGUCCGACACUGACGCUGAGGCGCGAAAGCGUGGGGAGCAAACA